ACGCUGGCGGCGUGCCUAAUACAUGCAAGUCGAGCGAACAGAUAAGGAGCUUGCUCCUUUGACGUUAGCGGCGGACGGGUGAGUAACACGUGGAUAACCUACCUAUAAGACUGGGAUAACUUCGGGAAACCGGAGCUAAUACCGGAUAAGAUUUUGAACCGCAUGGUUCAAUAGUGAAAGACGGCCUUGCUGUCACUUAUAGAUGGAUCCGCGCCGUAUUAGCUAGUUGGUAAGGUAACGGCUUACCAAGGCAACGAUACGUAGCCGACCUGAGAGGGUGAUCGGCCACACUGGAACUGAGACACGGUCCAGACUCCUACGGGAGGCAGCAGUAGGGAAUCUUCCGCAAUGGGCGAAAGCCUGACGGAGCAACGCCGCGUGAGUGAUGAAGGUCUUCGGAUCGUAAAACUCUGUUAUCAGGGAAGAACAAACGUGUAAGUAACUGUGCACGUCUUGACGGUACCUGAUCAGAAAGCCACGGCUAACUACGUGCCAGCAGCCGCGGUAAUACGUAGGUGGCAAGCGUUAUCCGGAAUUAUUGGGCGUAAAGCGCGCGUAGGCGGUUUUUUAAGUCUGAUGUGAAAGCCCACGGCUCAACCGUGGAGGGUCAUUGGAAACUGGAAAACUUGAGUGCAGAAGAGGAAAGUGGAAUUCCAUGUGUAGCGGUGAAAUGCGCAGAGAUAUGGAGGAACACCAGUGGCGAAGGCGACUUUCUGGUCUGUAACUGACGCUGAUGUGCGAAAGCGUGGGGAUCAAACAGGAUUAGAUACCCUGGUAGUCCACGCCGUAAACGAUGAGUGCUAAGUGUUAGGGGGUUUCCGCCCCUUAGUGCUGCAGCUAACGCAUUAAGCACUCCGC
rnacentral:rRNA from 2 species